UACGUAGGGUGCAAGCGUUGUCCGGAAUUAUUGGGCGUAAAGAGCUCGUAGGUGGCGAGGUUAGUCAGGUGUGAAAUCUCGGGGCUCAACCCCGAAACUGCACUUGAUACUGCCUUGCUAGAGUACUGGAGAGGAGAUUGGAAUUUACGGUGUAGCAGUGAAAUGCGUAGAUGUCGUAAGGAAGACCAGUGGCGAAGGCGAAUCUCUGGACAGUUACUGACACUGAGGCACGAAGGCCAGGGGAGCAAACGGG
rnacentral:rRNA from 1 species